rnacentral:rRNA from 1 species
UACGUAGGGGGGCAAGCGUUGUCCGGAUUUAUUGGGCGUAAAGAGCGUGUAGGCGGCCUGAAAGGUCAGCUGUGAAAACUCGAGGCUCAACCUCGAGACGUCGGUUGAAACCAUCUGGCUAGAGUCCGGAAGAGGAGAGUGGAAUUCCCGGUGUAGCGGUGAAAUGCGCAGAUAUCGGGAAGAACACCGGUGGCGAAGGCGGUCUGCUGGGCCAAGACUGACGCUGAGGCGCGACAGCGUGGGGAGCAAACAGG